rnacentral:lncRNA from 1 species
GUGGCAGCUAAAGGGGAGUGAGAAAUUUGGAAAGGAUCUUUAAGUCAGUAUAUUUCCCUGACUUCAGCAGGACAAAGAACCUGCCCCAGAGUUAGAUUUGCAGGUUUUAAGAAAAAGGAGGGGAGAUGGUAAAAGUUGGGAAUGAAGAACAGUUUGUUAUACAUUGAAAAGGGGAGAAAACAGAUACAAGGUGCUCUGUAUUUCUUUAUAUAUAUGUUACGAUGCCAAGCUUAAUCAUUUACAUGUCUUAAAAUGCUUCAGAAUAGAGUUGAAAACUUAAAAUUAGAAGUAGUUCAGCAAUGUUUGUUUUGUAGGCCAAUAGCUGAUGUAAGCCCAUAGCCAAGUGAGGAUUUCAGGGAGAGAUUUUUGUUUAUAUAUUUUUUUAUUAUUUAUUUUUUUUUAAAUAGCAGUACAUUGCUGUAGAAAAUAAUCUAAUUCUUAAGAUCAUGGGCUGGUUUAUGUUGGAAGGGACCUUGCAGAUGAUUUAGUACCAAUGUGUGUGCCUGUGGGUGACAAGUAAAUGCCAGAUGUCAGUGAAGAGUCAGGAAUUUCUCCUUGCUAUGGAGAGUUAUGAUGUAGCAGAGAGAGGAGACUUGGCUUCAAAACCACAGGUGUCAUCAAGUGCAGUUCUUUACUAGCUCUGCCAGAACUCGGGAUCUGGAAUAACCUGGAAAGUGGAUAAGAGACAGAAUUCUUCUUUCCACCCUGGGGACCUGGCUUGAUUGCUGGAGCUGCCUCCUCGUGGUCUAGCCAAAGAUAGCAGAUGAUUUUUAAUAGCCACACCUCUUUAGGAUUGUUAUUUUUUUUGUCUCCUCCAAUAAAGGCUAGAAGAAAUGUGGUUCUGUUUCCGAAAAAUACGGCCGGCAUGGAAACGAGAACUGCUUUCUGUGGUAUCGAGUGCAGGGGAGCAGUUAUGGGAUUCUGAGGGAAUGUAGGGCUGGACAAGGCCCGGUGCCACUGGAAUCUAGCACUGCCUUGACUUUGU